CAGGCUCAACUGUAAUACAACAAAGGAUCCGUCUGCGUCUGCUGCUUCGGCAAUAGCAGCGCUGUAGAAAUGAUUGGAAGUAAUGAGACUCCACGAGAUCCACCAUCGCUCUAAAACGCAAGUUAACGUGAAACAUCUUAUGUUUGUGCUGCACCUGCUAACGAUUGUUCCAGUAUUGCACCCAGAAGGACUCCAAGAAUACCCAGUAUACCCAGUGGUGGCAGCCCCCGGAAGUAACAUCACCCUCAGCUGUUUUUUUCCACGCAUUGAAACUGACCUACUCUUCAAUCUAAUAGUGGUCUGGGUGCAUGGUGAUGACACAGUGCACAGUUACUACAAAGCAACAGACAAUCUGGAGGCGCAGAGUCCAGCGUACAAGGGGCGCAGUCAGCUGUCCCCAGACCAGCUGGCUGUAGGCAAUGCCUCACUCAGGCUAACGGGGGUGCGAGCGAGCGACCACGGCAUGUACACGUGCGAUGUGGCCAAUGAGCAGGGCAGGAGCAAGAAGCAGAUUUUUCUCGCAGUAGCAGCUGCAUAUGAGGAACCUGAGCUUGCCAUCCAGACCACCUGCGACAGCAUCAUCCUCACCUUCCUCUCCACCCUGGGCUUCCCUCAGCCCACUGUGCUGUGGAGAACCAAGACAGGAAGUGACAUCACCAACCGGAGCAACACCACUAUGGUCCUGAAAGAAGGGGGAAAACAUUAUGAGGUGGUGAGCGAGAUGGUGCUGAAGCAGAGUGACCCAUACAAUUGGACUGUCACAUUUGAGAUGAGGCUGGAGCUCCUCAACCAGACCUUCUCCCGCUCUGUCAGCCUCCGCCCACUCCCAGAUUGCUGUGGGACGCCAGUGGAACCCAGGAACAGACUGUUUCUGCUUGUACCACUAUUAGCUAUAUCCUUAGUGGUACUGGCUUGCUUAACCAUUGUUGUCUUCUGGUACAAGAACAGCCUGUCGCAUGCACCUGACGUUCCCCUUGGAACAGAACCGGUUGCAGAGGAAGAAGAAAGCUUGUGAAGGCAAAGCAGGCGUUUGUGUGUGUACAUUUCAUUAAUGAUUAUUAUUUUUUUUUUACUGUUCACUUGUGUAAUCACACAUGGUUGUUUCCAUCCUACACAUUAAACAAGCGUUAAUGCGUCGGUGUCUUUUGUGUUGCUUCUUCUGCUAAAUUAACUCAAAUGAACCCCUGCGUCUGCUCCAAGACCGGUCUCCUGCCCCUGCCCCGUGUCUGCUCCAAGACGCGUCUCCUGCAAGGGCGGUUCUAAAGGGGUGGCCGGGGUGGCACCCCUUGUAAAGUUUGAGUUUGUUCUGUUUCAGCCCAUAUCUCUGCUUGCCUGAGGGACAUCCAGAGCUGGAUGGACAACCACCAUCUAAAGCUCAACCCAGGCAAGACUGAAAUGAUAUUCAUCCCUGCUAAUACCUCUCCCCAUCUGGAUCUCUCCAUUUCCCUCGGGGAUACCACACUCACGCCGUCACCCAGUGCAAGGAACCUCGGCGUGGUGAUGGACAGCAGACUGUCCCUUUCCGAGAACAUUGCGGCGGUGACCCGGUCUUGCAGGUUCUUCCUAUACAACAUACGGAGAAUCCGCCCCUUUCUCACCCCCUACUCGACCCAGCUCCUGGUCCAGGCGAUGGUUCUGUCCCACCUGGACUACUGCAAUUCCCUCUUGGCUGGCCUCCCAGCGUCCGCCAUCAGACCCCUCCAACUCAUCCAGAAUGCAGCAGCUCGUCUGGUCUUCAACCUUCCCAAAUACUCGCACGUCACCCCCCUGCUUACUACCCUCCACUGGCUGCCUGUCAUGGCUCGCAUCAAAUUCAAAACAUUGGUGCUAGCCUUCCAAGCAGUUAAGGGGUCUUCCCCAGCUUAUCUACAAAAAAUCAUCAGACCCUACACCCAUGCCAGACCUCUUCAUUCAGCCUCCACAGGCCGCUUGGCACCUCCCCCUCUCCGAACCUCCACCUCACGCUCACGACUGCUGUCUGUUCUGGCUCCACGGUGGUGGAACGAACUCCCCGUUGAGGUCAGAACUGUAGAAUCUCUCCCCACCUUCUAAUGCAAGCUGAAGACACACCUCUUCAAGCAGCACCUCUCCCCAUCCCCCCCUACCUCCCUGUGAACCUUAAUUGUUGACUCUGUGACUUGCUUUGUGUAUCGGUAUUUUUUAGUUGGCUAGGUAAGCAGUGUUUUGAUAGUUAACUUUGGUCACUUUUGCUCUGUUUGUUUGUUUCUUGUUUAAAAAAAAAAAAAAUAAUAAUAAUUGGCCCUCGUCCUUAUCUUUGUUGUACAGGUAGCAGUUGAAAUUGUACUUCCCUCUAGGGUCUUUCAGCGAACUUAUCCCUGUUUAUGGAUAUGCACUUUGUUGUACGUCGCUCUGGAUAAGAGCGUCUGCCAAAUGCCAAUAAUUUAAUGUAAUGUAACAUAAGUGCCAUUACAGUCUAAGGCUAAUCAUGGUGAUUGUGAUUAGAAGCAGCUCGUUCAAUUCCUUUAGAUAGAAAAGGAAGAAGAGAUACCAAGUGGUAGUUCUGGAUGAUAGAGGGGUCCAGGGUAAGCCUUUUUAGCAGCGGGGUGAUGUGGGAUUUUUCAAUGACUGUCAGAGCCCCAUCUUUGUCAUCUUCCUCCCUAGUUAUCUAGCUGACUUUUAAAUGUCACCACCAAAGCUAGUUAAUGGUUAAGUUACAUCAUACAAAACCAAAAUGAGACACUAAAAAUGUUUAACUGGGCCGACAUAAAAAAAGGUGUUUGUGGGGGAAAAGAAAUAAACGGCAGAUCAAAA